rnacentral:rRNA from 1 species
GAUGAACGCUGGCGGCGUGCUUAACACAUGCAAGUCGAACGAGAGUUAUUUUGUAGCAAUACAAGGUAACGAAAGUGGCAAACGAGCGAGUAACGCGUACUUAACUUGCCCUCAAGUUGUGAACAACCGUAGAGAUGCGGCUAAUUCACGAUAUGCUCACGAUGGUGAAAUUCCAAUGUGGGGAAAGAUUUAUCGCUUGAGGAGAGGGGUGCGUCCUAUCAGGUAGUUGGUGAGGUAAUGGCUCACCAAGCCUAUGACGGGUAGCCGGUCUGAGAUGAUGUCCGGCCGCGAUGGAAUUGAGAUACGGUCCAUACUCCUACGGGAGGCAGCAGUGGGGAAUCUUGCACAAUGGACGAAAGUCUGAUGCAGCGAUUCCGCGUGGAGGAUGACGCAUUACGGUGUGUAAACUCCUUUUCUGGUGGAAGACGAAUGACGGUACACCAGGAAUAAGGGACGGCUAACUACGUGCCAGCCGCCGCGGUAA